rnacentral:rRNA from 1 species
GACGAACGCUGGCGGCGUGCUUAACACAUGCAAGUCGAACGGUGACGGAGGAGCUUGCUCCUCCUGAUCAGUGGCGAACGGGUGAGUAACACGUGAGCAAUCUGCCCCUGACUCUGGGAUAACUGCGGGAAACUGUAGCUAAUACCGGAUACGACGCGCGAAGGCAUCUUCUGCGCGUGGAAAGAAUUUCGAUCAGGGAUGAGCUCGCGGCCUAUCAGCUUGUUGGUGAGGUAAUGGCUCACCAAGGCGACGACGGGUAGCCGGCCUGAGAGGGUGACCGGCCCACCGGGGAACGGGAAACGGGCCAGGCCCCUGCGGGGGGCAGGGGGGGGGAAAAUUGCAAAAGGGGCGCAAGGCUGAUGCAGCAACGCCGCGGGGGGGAACACGGGCUUCGGGUUGUAAACCUUUUUUGGGAGGGAAGAAGGGAAAGGGACGGUACCUGCAGAAAAAGCCCCGGCUAACUACG